GUGGAGUUGGAGCCUAGUAAUCUAAACUGUUAAAAAAAAAACUCCAACAAUUCCUAUUGUCUCCUUGUUUAAAAAAAAAACACAAUCCCAAGCAAAAUGAACAAACCCCAACUUGGAAAGCAAUAUAUUUUGGGCUAACAUGUUGUUUCUAAUAUUAUUAAUUCACCCUUUCCUUAUAUUUAUUUUUUAUUUUUUUUAACAUGUGGAAUGUAAUGCUGCUUACCAAGCAGUGCAAUGUAGAGGUGUUUGUUUAAGCAUAGUAUUAAUAACAUAACAUGC